UGUCCUUGUUUGGCACUCAUUUAUUUACUUCCUGAAGAGGCUGGAGCAUGCUGGCCUUGACACCUCAGUCCUUGCUUUGUGUUAUGGAGCACAUCCUCACAUCAUGAUCUACUGCAGCGGUGGAUACAGAGGAAAAUUGGCAGGUUGUCAGCUGUUGUCAGGCUCAUCACCAAAGCAGAAAGACACAGUGAGACCAGACAUGCCAGGAAAGAGCAAGGCACAGGCCAGGAAGGAGCCAGGCAAAGCCCGGGAAUUUUUUUCCAGCUGUUCCCGCCAGCUAUAGAAGGACUGCUCCUGAGAAUAGAUGGGUGUCUACAUCGUUUUGCAAAAAGGGUCUUCUACACAUGAUGCUUGUCAAGCACUGCUCAUUGACUGGCCAGGGGUCCUCUGUAUUGUGACCACUGGUCAAAGGCGGCACAUGACUGUCUCAGAGUCCUCUACAUCAUUCCGGUGACAGGACUUUUGGCCUAGCCUGACAGGAUGGGUCUUGUGUUACUGUGACCAGACGGCUCAACAAUGCAUCAUUCUCAUCCAUGCCCUCAUCACCUUGAGACUGGACUACUGCAACAGCAUUUUCUAUAUGGUCUUGAAAAUUAUUGUCUUAUUAUUAUUACAGGUCUCUCUGCACCCGAACCAGCAGGUUCAGAGGAAGUUUCUUUCCUGCGGCUGUCACCCUACUGGACUCUAGCUCUGCAUCUCGGUGACAACCAAUCAACUAAGCCCCCAAUAAACUAAGCCCCCAAUACCCUAU